AAUACUAGGUAACCUAUUAGGUCCCAUCAAUUUAACCUAACAGUGCAGGCAGGGUGAGAACAUAAAAGUAAAUAUUAUUAGGUCAAAGAAUGUGAUCAAGGACACAACUUGCCUUUUUGGUGCAACUCCAGGUGCUUCUCCAAGUUGGGCUUUAGGUUCCCCGUGACCUCGCUUCUAUUUGUAGCGAUAUAUACAGAUAGACAAGGAAUAGGUAAAAAUAACAUUACACCAAACAUGGAAACAAACUAUACAAUAACAUUCUACGCAUCGCUACGAAACCGUAUGUUCGAGAACCACUAAAAUCGGAGUUAAAACGAAGAAGAUAUAAAUUAUCUAAGUUUAUUGAGUUAUUUUUACACUUAAAAACAUUUUCCACAUUUAUUUAUGAAUUUCUGGAAUCCUUGGAUGGCGCUACUGAUAUUUGAAAAUACCAGGGUCUAGGGUAUAAAGUUUAGGACCUGAAUUUUAUGUUCUUAUAACGGUACAGGACCGUGGGUUUAUUACUAAAUCUAUCAGGGGCUCUUUAGCUAAAAUCUCGCGGUGAAGAGGUAUCGGCCAAUACUAGCCGUAGGAUCACGAUUGGUUGGCUCAGAUUAGAAGUUGCCUUCACCGAAACGGUGCGCAACCAGGGCCACUCAUCCUGCGAUCUACGGCCCUACUUUUAUGAAGAUCGAUUCAUUUUCAUCCGUCGGAUCUAAUCUCAACGGUUCACCGCAGACGGGCUCGAAGCGUUAUCCAGUUCUAAUCUAAGUCGUUGAUCCUUUGAUGAGCGGCACUCGAUCCAUCCUCUCCAGCCGGCCGAGCAGAGCGGCGGCGCUCGCGAUCCCCGCGGCGGAGCGUCAUCGGCACGCGGCGAUCACACGAUCUGGUGAACUAAUCGCGACGCAGAUUGGCGCAAAAGAAUAAUGAGGCUAUGGCGAAACUAUGGGCAUUGAAUUUACCGGCUAGUACGACGUGACAAGACCCGACCAUGGCGCGGACGGUUCCGCGGCGGCGUUAGAUCGUCGGCGACAAAUUCCCUUCGGUCUAAGGCUUCUCCCCGCCCAAUUAUGCCGUGGCUUCGUCAAGCGUGCAUCCGUGAACCCACUCGGCUACUUCAUGGGAGGAGAACGUCGGCAUAGACGUGGGUCGACGGCGGCGGCUCGAAUCCCUCCUCACCCUGCUCGGUUUCGUUCGUGGCUAAGGGUGCUUGUGUUUGGUUACGGCGC
rnacentral:lncRNA from 1 species